GCUUAGCCCUGAUUGCAGCGACAUCCUUGUUAUGCUUUAAUUCAAUAGUGUUGGUUAUAGCUUGUAAAUUGCUUAGUAGUUUUAUGAUUUGGUUUAUAGAUUAUAAUCUGCAUAAAAAGAUAUAGUGGAAAGCAGGAAAUAGC
rnacentral:sRNA from 1 species